rnacentral:ncRNA from 1 species
AUAAAGUUUUAUUCUUUCUUAAAAUUUUGUAAAAAUUACUAAUAUUGUAUGAAGUGAUUUAAGGUAGUUUAGAAGAUUAAAUGUAAUAAUGAGAUGAAAAUUUAUAUGAUGGGUAAUUAAAUCUCAGCAAUGAUUAUUAAAUAAUGGGAGGAAUUCUGAUUUAGUAGUAAUUUAAGGCUUGAUAAAAUAUUGUGCCAGCAGUCGCGGUUAGACUUUGAAGUCAAGCAAAAUUUAUUAGUGGUUAGUUAAAGUUGAAAUAAUUGAAAUAUUUUUAUGAGAUAAAGAGUGGAAUCAAGUAUGUUGAAUAUAAAAGUUUAAAAAUUAUUAAUAUUGAAGCUAAAAAAAAUUAGAUUUAAACUAGGAUUAGAUACCCUAUUAUACUAAAAUUUUUGGUCAGCACUAAAGUAUUAUGAGAUGGAGUCUUUAAAUUUUAAGAAUUUGGCGGUAAUUUAGUCUUUUCAGAGGAACCUGUUUUUGAAUCGAUAAACCACGAAAUAUCUUACUUAUCUUAAAACUAAUUUAUAAAUUAAGGUUUGUAUACCGUCAUUAUCAGAUAAUAUUUAGAGAUAUAAUUAUUUAAUCUUAAAUAGUAAAGAAAAUUAGAUCAAGGUGCAGCUUAUGGAUAAGUUAAAAUGGGUUACAAUUAAGUUUUAUAUAAUGAUGGAAUAAAAGUUGAAAUACUUUUAGGAAGGAGGAUUUGAUUGUAAGUUGAGUUAGUGAGGUAAGAAGAUAUAAGCUCUAAAUUAUGUACAUAUCGCCCGUCGCUUUCGUUAUAAAGAUGGAAUAAGUCGUAACAUAGUAGAUUUACUGGAAAGUGAGUCUAGAUUU